ensembl:lncRNA OSMR-DT OSMR divergent transcript
AAACCGAAAACUCGGCGGCCGAGGCUCCGUGCCCCGCGCGCAGCGCUGCUCCUGCCCCGGCCAAGGACGCACGGGCCAGCCGGCGGAACCAGAGGAGUGAAGCUUCAGAUCUUCGCAGUGAGUGUUACAGCUCAUAAAGGCAGCGUGGACCUAAAGAGUGACCAGCAGCAAGAUUUAUUGCGAAGAGCGAAUGAACAUAGCUUUCACAGUGUGGAAGGGGAGCACCUAGCCCGGGCACUCUGGCAGCCCAGAGGGAGCUCAUCCCCCAAUCAAGCCCAGCAGGCACUGAGCCCCUGACCACCCGGAACCCGCACCGGCCUGUGAAUGCCACGCGCAGCCCCAGCUCCCGCCGGCACCUCUCCCUCCACACCUCCCCAAGAGCAGAGGGAGCUGGUUACAGACUCGGCCAGCCCCAGAGUGGGGCCCCCACAGCACAGCGACAGGCUGAAGAGCUCCUCAAGUGCGGCCAGAGCGGACGCGGAGGCCGAGGAGGUGCCAAGAGCCAGUGAGGGCUGCUAGCACGUUGUCACUGCUCACAUAUACACGUAUAUACACGUGUAUACAUAUACAUAUGUAUAUACUUGUAUAUACAUAUGUAUAUACUUGUAUAUGUAUUCAUGUGUAUAUACAUGUAUAUAGGUGUACAGAUGUAUAUAGUAUGUAUAUAUACAUGCAUGUGUACAUGUAUACAUUGUAUACAGUUUACAUGUAUGUAUAUAUGUACACAUGUAUUCCAGUGCGUGUAUAUAUACACAUAAUAUAUACAUAUAUGUAUAUUCAUAUACACGCAUAUGCAUACAUAUGUAUAUUCAUAUACACGCAUAUGCAUACAUAUGUAUAUUCAUAUACACGCAUAUGCAUACAUAUGUAUAUU